rnacentral:tRNA from 1 species
GGGCUAACGGGCGAGGUCUCUGGUUCAAGUCCAGGAUGGCCCAGCUACGCCAAAGAAAAGAAU